rnacentral:tRNA from 1 species
UGUUAAAGAGGUGUUAUCACGCUACUUUUUCGAGGUAGAGUAGGGCAUUCUCGUGCCCCUUUAAUAA